rnacentral:sRNA from 1 species
GACUCUUUUUGGUCGUAUCUCAAAUAUAGCCGUAUAACCCUCUUAAUACAAAGGAAAAAAUUGGGCAAAGAAAAAAAAACCGGCAAUGCUGGUCGAUUUGAGGAUUAAUCGCGGGUUCUAUUUCGGUCGUGCUAAACCUCGGCAUCCGGAGCAAGAGAUUCGCUUUUUCGAUCACCAUCACGUUCGCUAACACAAUUCUGUCG